GAUGAAGAACGCAGCGAAAUGCGAUACCUGGUGUGAAUUGCAGAAUCCCGCGAACCAUCGAGUCUUUGAACGCAAGUUGCGCCCGAGGCCACCCGGCCGAGGGCACGCCUGCCUGGGCGUCACGCCAAAACACGCUCCCACCCCCCCUCACCGGGGGAGCGGGACGCGGCGUCUGGCCCCCCGUGCCGCGAGGCGCGGUGGGCCGAAGAUCGGGCUGCCGGCGUACCGUGCCGGGCACAGCGCGUGGUGGAUCUCUACUCGGCGCAGUGCACCCGGCGCGUAGCCGGCGCAGCGGCCCCUAAGGACCCAACGAACGGAGCGCGAGCCGCUCCGACCGCGACCCCAGGUCAGGCGGGACUACCCGCUGAGUUUAAGCAUAUCAAUAACGGAGGA
rnacentral:misc_RNA from 1 species